rnacentral:rRNA from 1 species
CCUACGGGUGGCAGCAGUGAGGAAUAUUGGUCAAUGGACGAGAGUCUGAACCAGCCAAGUAGCGUGAAGGAUGACUGCCCUAUGGGUUGUAAACUUCUUUUAUAUGGGAAUAAAAUGUUCCACGUGUGGGAUUUUGUAUGUACCAUAUGAAUAAGGAUCGGCUAACUCCGUGCCAGCAGCCGCGGUAAUACGGAGGAUCCGAGCGUUAUCCGGAUUUAUUGGGUUUAAAGGGAGCGUAGGUGGAUUGUUAAGUCAGUUGUGAAAGUUUGCGGCUCAACCGUAAAAUUGCAGUUGAAACUGGCAGUCUUGAGUACAGUAGCGGUGGGCGGAAUUCGUGGUGUAGCGGUGAAAUGCUUAGAGAUCACGAAGAACACCGAUUGCGAAGGCAGCUCACUGGACUGCAACUGACACUGAGGCUCGAAAGUGUGGGUAGCAAACAGGAUUAGAUACCCCAGUAGUC